CUUCACACUAUUGUUAUUCCUGUCCUUUAUUAUUAUUAUUAUUAUUAUUAUUAUUCUACUUAUUCCGCUCACUUUUUUGACGCUUAACUACUUCCACAUACUUCAACCGAUUCACUCCGUUCCACUUUUCACUUAUUCCAAA